rnacentral:rRNA from 1 species
GACGAACGCUGGCGGCGUGCUUAACACAUGCAAGUCGAACGGAAAGGCCCCUUCGGGGGUACUCGAGUGGCGAACGGGUGAGUAACACGUGAGUAACCUGCCCUUGACUUCGGGAUAACUUCAGGAAACUGGGGCUAAUACCGGAUAGGAAUCCUUGCUGCAUGGUGGGGGUUGGAAAGCUUCGGCGGUUUUGGAUGGACUCGCGGCUUAUCAGCUUGUUGGUGGGGUAGUGGCUUACCAAGGCUUUGCCGGGUAGCCGGCCUGAGAGGGCGACCGGCCACAUUGGGACUGAGAUACGGCCCAGACUCCUACGGGAGGAAGCAGGGGGGAAGAGUGAACAAGGGGCGGAAGCCUGAUGCAGCAACGCCGCGGGCGGGAUGACGGCCUUCGGGUUGUAAACUGCUUUCAGCAGGGGCGAAGCUUGUGGUGACGGUACCUGCAGAAGAAGCACCGGCUAACUACGUG